GGAGUAACCGUAACUGCUUAUAACAGUUGUGUGUUAACUGCAGAUAAAUCUUCAGUUCAAUCUGUAAUUGUCAUAAUGAGGACGUGGGCAUUGUUUUUAUAGGCGUUCAGCUGACAUUGUCAAAUGCGACGACUACAGGAGCUGUGGCGUGUUCUGACUUCUCUUUAUGAACGUUACUUAAAGGUGAUCUGCUCCUCCUGGUAGGUGGAGGUGGAGAUGGCGCCGUACGGAUCCACUACCGUCUGGGCACAGCGCACCACCGUCACCAGCAGGAAGAAACACAGGAGGAAGAGGAAGAAGAGAGCAAAGCCCAGGUCCACAUCCACCUCAAACUGCCUCGCAGGGUGAGAAGCCUGGUCCAUGUGGGCGAUGACGACUUCUGAUCCGUCUGAUUCCUCUCCUUGUCAGCACCACUUUAGGAAUGGGACAGCUGUGUGUACAUGUGCUGUUGAGAUAAUGGUGAUGACUUGAUGCCAGAAAUACUAAAUAAAUCAGAAAGGCAGACAAAGGGUAAAGAGGUUACAUCACAA